rnacentral:lncRNA from 1 species
GGACAAGAAUUGUGGUCUCGGACCAGUUGUUAUUUAUGUGCCUUGUACAAAUCUAGUGUGUAAAACCAAAAGAACCAUAUUUUUUCAGUUUAUUCUUAUUGUCCCAGGUUAUUGCAUUGUUGAGCAUUCACAAACAUGUUUACUCAGUGGGAUCAAGUACUUUUUAUAAGGUGGGCCCACUGACUGAACUAAAAAAACUAGA